rnacentral:rRNA from 1 species
CCUACGGUGUGCAGCAGUGGGGGAUAUUGCACAAUGGGGGAAACCCUGAUGCAGCGACGCCGCGUGGGCGAAGAAGUAUUUCGGUAUGUAAAGCCCUAUCAGCAGGGAAGAAGAAAUGACGGUACCUGAGUAAGAAGCACCGGCUAAAUACGUGCCAGCAGCCGCGGUAAUACGUAUGGUGCAAGCGUUAUCCGGAUUUACUGGGUGUAAAGGGAGCGUAGACGGCUGUGCAAGUCUGAAGUGAAAGCCCGUGGCUCAACCGCGGAACUGCUUUGGAAACUGUAUAGCUUGAGUACUGGAGAGGCAGGCGGAAUUCCUAGUGUAGCGGUGAAAUGCGUAGAUAUUAGGAGGAACACCAGUGGCGAAGGCGGCCUGCUGGACAGAAACUGACGUUGAGGCUCGAAAGCGUGGGGAGCAAACAGGAUUAGAUACCCCAGUAGUC